CCUACGGGGGGCUGCAGUGGGGAAUAUUGGACAAUGGGGGGAACCCUGAUCCAGCCAUGCCGCGUGUGUGAAGAAGGCCCUCAGGUUGUAAAGCACUUUCAGUGAGGAAGAACGCCUGGUGGUUAAUACCCAUCAGGAAAGACAUCACUCACAGAAGAAGCACCGGCUAACUCCGUGCCAGCAGCCGCGGUAAUACGGAGGGUGCGAGCGUUAAUCGGAAUUACUGGGCGUAAAGCGCGCGUAGGUGGCUUGAUAAGCCGGUUGUGAAAGCCCCGGGCUCAACCUGGGAACGGCAUCCGGAACUGUCAAGCUAGAGUGCAGGAGAGGAAGGUAGAAUUCCCGGUGUAGCGGUGAAAUGCGUAGAGAUCGGGAGGAAUACCAGUGGCGAAGGCGGCCUUCUGGACUGACACUGACACUGAGGUGCGAAAGCGUGGGUAGCAAACAGGAUUAGAUACCCUGGUAGUC
rnacentral:rRNA from 1 species